GCGAAGGAUAGGAGAAACGCCUGCCCCCCAAGCAGAGGGUCGGGGGUUCGAACCCCUUUCCCGCUCCA
rnacentral:tRNA from 1 species